UACCUUUGACAUGUACGGAAUCCUUUAGAGAUGAAGGAGUGCUCGAAAGAGAGCCGUAACACAGGUGCUGCAUGGCUGUCGUCAGCUCGUGUCGUGAGAUGUUGGGUUAAGUCCCGCAACGAGCGCAACCCUUGCCAUUAGUUGCUACGAAAGGGCACUCUAAUGGGACUGCCGGUGACAAACCGGAGGAAGGUGGGGAUGACGUCAAGUCCUCAUGGCCCUUAUAGGUGGGGCUACACACGUCAUACAAUGGCUGGUACAGAGGGCUGCCAACCCGCGAGGGGGAGCUAAUCUCAUAAAGCCAGUCGUAGUCCGGAUCGCAGUCUGCAACUCGACUGCGUGAAGUCGGAAUCGCUAGUAAUCGCGGAUCAGAAUGUCGCGGUGAAUACGUUCCCGGGUCUUGUACACACCGCCCGUCACACCAUGGGAGCGGGUUCUGCCAGAAGUAGUUAGCCUAACCGCAAGGAGGGCGAUUACCACGGCAGGGUUCGUGACUGGGGUGAAGUCGUAACAAGGUAGGCGUAGUGCU
rnacentral:rRNA from 1 species